rnacentral:rRNA from 1 species
UUACUGAGUGAGGGCCCUCUGGGUCCAACCUCCCACCCGUGUUUAUUGUACCUUGUUGCUUCGGUGCGCCCGCCUCACGGCCGCCGGGGGGCUUCUGCCCCCGGGUCCGCGCGCACCGGAGACACUAUUGAACUCUGUCUGAAGAUUGCAGUCUGAGCAUAAACUAAAUAAGUUAAAACUUUCAACAACGGAUCUCUUGGUUCCGGCAUCGAUGAAGAACGCAGCGAAAUGCGAUAACUAAUGUGAAUUGCAGAAUUCAGUGAAUCAUCGAGUCUUUGAACGCACAUUGCGCCCCCUGGUAUUCCGGGGGGCAUGCCUGUCCGAGCGUCAUUGCUGCCCUCAAGCACGGCUUGUGUGUUGGGCUCCGUCCCCCCGGGGACGGGUCCGAAAGGCAGCGGCGGCACCGAGUCCGGUCCUCGAGCGUAUGGGGCUUUGUCACCCGCUCUGUAGGCCCGGCCGGCGCCAGCCGACAACCAAUCAUCCUUUUUUCAGGUUGACCUCGGAUCAGGUAGGGAUACCCGCUGAACUUAAGCAUAUCAAUAAGCGGAGGAAAAGAAACCAACAGGGAUUACCUCAGUAACGGCGAGUGAAGCGGUAAGAGCUCAAAUUUGAAAGCUGGCUCCUUCGGGGUCCGCAUUGUAAUUUGCAGAGGAUGUUUCGGGAGCAGCCCCCAUCUAAGUGUCCUGGAACGGACCGUCAUAGAGGGUGAGAAUCCCGUAUGGGGAUGGGGUGUCUGCGCCCAUGUGAAACUCCUUCGACGAG